GACGAACGCUGGCGGCGUGCCUAAUACAUGCAAGUCGAACGAGAGCAACCGGUGCUUGCACUGGUCAAUCUAGUGGCGAACGGGUGAGUAACACGUGGGUAACCUGCCCAUCAGAGGGGGAUAACAUCCGGAAACGGAUGCUAAAACCGCAUAGGUCUUCGAACCGCAUGGUUUGAAGAGGAAAAGAGGCGCAAGCUUCUGCUGAUGGAUGGACCCGCGGUGCAUUAGCUAGUUGGUGAGGUAACGGCUCACCAAGGCCGUGAUGCAUUGCCGACCUGAGAGGGUGAUCGGCCACAUUGGGACUGAGACACGGCCCAAACUCCUCCGGGAGGCACCAGUAGGGAGUCUUCCGGAAUGGACGCAAGUCUGACGGAGCAGCGCCGCGUGAGUGAAGAAGGUUUUCGGAUCGUGAAACUCUGUUGUUAGAGAAGAACAAGUGCUAGAGUAACUGUUAGCGCCUUGACGGUAUCUAACCAGAAAGCCACGGCUAACUACGUG
rnacentral:rRNA from 1 species